ACGCAUUGAGCGGUGAAUGAUACGUCGAGUUCACCUGCAUAUUGGAGGUGGAAACAACGAUCGAGAAGUGCCUCAAUUAUUUGCUGCUUGGAAAUAUGCCAAACGUCGAAGACAGAUCUUAUGCGAUGACCUUUCACAGGUUCACCAAUCAGACAUUCAUUAAACAGGACAAAAAAGGAAGCAAAGACACCAGUUCAAGUCUCGCGAGGAGAGGGGAGAGGAAGUGUCUCGUACAAUUCACCACUGCACUCUGAUUAUCUUCUCCUCAGCACCUCUAUUUAUUUAGAUUUAAGACGCCCCUUGUUUACAUGGAUGUUACAAAAAGGAGACGGCAAGCAAAACUGUUUGAAACAAAGUGUACAUGUUUGUUCAUGUGCAUGUGCAUGUGUGGAAGAUUACUGAAUACAUGUGUGGUCAUCAUUUCUUUAACAGGCAGCAGUUCUAACAGUUCUGAUGAUUAGAUGUUUUUGUUCUUGCUAUCUCCUGCUAGGAGGCUGCCACGUUAUCUUCAGCAGAGCACAGCAUUUCUUUAUUGGAAGCAGAUGUAUGAUAAUUAUGAUCACAAUUAUUCCUACAUUUCCCCCCUGUUUAUCCUACAUUUGCUGCCACAUUUUGUAGAGCAGAGCAAAGCAUUCUUCAUUGCAGGCAGAGCAAAGCAUUCUUCAUUGCAGGCAAAGCAGUAACUGAAUUGGAGCAGAGCAAAUAAUUUCUUCAAUGCAGUCAAGAAGCAGUUACUUGAUACUAUUUACAACUAUUUCUACAUUAUCCUCCAGUUUAUCCUACAUUUGCUCAAAUCCUUAAAUCAUCUAAUAGAUCACCCUUUCGGGUUACACUCAGAGGAAAAUAUAACACUAAUUACUUGUAAUCUUCUGGAUCAAAGAACAGGUCUGGAAGAGAAGUCAUAACGUCAUCAUCGUGGUCAACAAUAUCACUGUCAUUACUCUGUUGUGCGAAUAGUGGAUAUAUUUUUCCCAAUUUUGAAUUUGUUGGGGCAACAGCAGUGGUUAUAAGUUGGUUAAGUGAUGCCUUUAUGCAGCGAAUACAACAUCCACACAAUGCAAGAAUAGCUGCAAACAGCUAUAGAAACUAGGACAGAGAACACCAAAUUUUAGAUUUGCCAAACUUUUUUUUUUCCCCACCACUCAGACCUGGCUGAUGUGUUUACACCAGAGUGCUCCUUCAACUUGUGGUUCAGGCUGUGGAGGCCUUGAAUGGCCCUUCUCCGUGACCCCUCAGGUGCUGUGAUAUUUGGAAUAAACAACACUGGUCACCGAACAUUGAGCAGUUGUUCCCUCAUGGCAAUAAAGCCUGCUUCCGUAUAAUUACCUAGUUUCUGUACAUUGUAAUGUACGUAGUUGAUUCUGUCAACGUUUUUAUUCAGAGUUAUCCAUAACAAGAUGGAUUCCCAUCCUGCAGCAAUCUCGUUAACCAACUUAUACUCAUCUGGUAUGCCGUUGGGAUGCCAUUUGCUAUAAUGUAUGUCAGAUCUCCAUCUUUCCAAGAGGACCUUCGCCUUUGGGAGAACCCAAGGGGAAGUCCAAAGAUGGAUGCGGCCAAUUGUAUAUCCUCUGCUUUGGAUGGAAACACAGUCACAGAUAAGAGCAGUGUUGUCACAUCAUGUUAAGGUAGUAGUGAGUGUUUUUUGUUUUUUUUUCUCUAAUACCUCUCAUCUUUUGUGUCUAGUGUCCUUUACACUUUUCCUCAUCAUCUUCCUUUCUAUGGAACAACAGAUCUCUCUGCCUGUUUGUUCUUCCUGUCCACUUUCUUUAUCUUUCUUUUUCUGACUCCUUCUGAACAUUGUGUUAUCUCACUCUUUUGUACGGCCACAAGGCUCAAGUCUCUACUGAGGUCAAAAGGAGUGUUUGCGAGGACAGCAGCCCCUGCCCCACAUGAUCCCAGUUUGAGAGCUCGAGGACCAGUCCUUUAACGGGUCUGUGUUGCCGUGGCCAUGGUCUUCCUGGAGGUCGACUAUGAAGCUGGGAUCCUCAGGUAUGUUGGAAUCCGGCUCAAAGGACCCAGCAAAUGUUAGGUUUAAACCCAACCGCUGGAUUAAUUAUGCAAAUGAAGGGACAAGAGAGGUCUUCAAUUUGGCUCUAGAGGUGAAGCGGGUUUGACUGACCAGCUGCAACACCAACACCCGCUCUCAGUCAGUCUUACCAGUGUCCCCCUUUUCAUUACUUUCUCAAAACAAAGGGUCACAAGAUCAAAGAAAAAGAUGGAGGAACAGAUAGCAAUGCCAACACAAAGACAAAUACUAAGAUAAACAUUUACAACAAUGGCGUUUGAGGAGUAUCUGCUUUGAAGUCAGCAAGGGGGUGCAUCAUCCCCCCAGAUGUGGCUGGGUCACACUCAGGUCACAGUCAGGUCACACAGCUACUCCCAAUGAGAAUGAUUCAGGCAAGGAUGAUAUAAACAAAUGCAUGAUAAAAUAAUAAAUCUAACACUUUGCUUUACAAUGAUGCCUAUGAUAGAGGCUCCGCCAGGUCCAAUAUACAAGCUGUUUCAUCUUAAAGAUGUUGAUUGUCUUACUCCUCACUUGCCUCGUCUCUCUUCUGGUUGUAAUGCAUGGCUGUCUAGUUUUGUGGAAACUUUACAGGGGUAUACAGUCUGCAUGGGAGAGUGGAGACAAGCAACAUCUAGAUCAUGCACUAGUAUUGAACAACGAGAAAUCAAGACAACUACAGAAAUCUUUAUGCGGCCCAGCUUCACCGAGACUCUGCCUCAAGCGGCCCCUAGUUAAAUUGAGUUUGAGACCCCUGGUCUACGAUAUUGGUUGGUAUAGGAGAGAGUGGAUCAACGAGUGCUGACGAGUGUGGUCCAUUUGAUGUUGCUCAGCCUUGCCACAGCAGUCCAGGAUGAAGGUUCACCAACCUGGUGCCAUCUGUCACACUAUGUCAAAGUGCCAGAUGGGUAAGCCGCACAAGAACGUGGACCUGAAAGGGAUGGCCCUGGACCACUUCAGAUUGCUGAAGAGGAAGACAGAAAAGCUUGGGUUCAUGCUGAAUACCCAUGGAAACAACAGAAGAAAGGUUUUGUUGCCAUGAGAGUCAACAUAUUCACCAGAAAAUGGAAGGUUAUCCAGAUGAUCCGCUGCAGUGCAUGACAGAGCACCCAGGAUUUAUUCCCAGCUUUCUAAACCAAUGAGUACUUGAGGUUGUCUAUCUCCAAUUCAAGUAACAAUAUUGGGAGUGACUGGAAUUUCCACAACACGAGUAAGAGCUAUUUUAAAAAUUAUUAAUGGUAAUAUUUGUCCAAAUCAGCCCAGCUUUUUGCCAUUUCCAUUCAGAUUUUUCGAAAUAAAGAAUUGUUUACAUUUUUGUUCCUGCUAAAAGCGGUAUUUGUCCAAACAAUGCUUGUUCAAAAAAAGUUCCAUUCUGGAAAAUUGUCAUAUGAGUAUAUUUUCUUAUUUUCAGGAUAAUACUGCUUAUUCACAGCUUGUGAGAUGGUGUUGGGGAAUUGUAGGUAGAAAAAAAACACGGGCCACUUCCAUCCUACUGUGUGUGGAAGAUUUCUGACUGAUGACCUGUCUUUAUGUAAAUGUUGUAAUUUAUAUUUAUCCAUCCAUUAUCAAAGCCACUUAUCCUCACAAGGGUCAAAGGAGAGCCAGAGCCUAACCCACCUGUCAUGGUCCUGCCGGUCCAGCCCUGGCUGUGCGGGUUGUCGCACUGAUUGGGAGGCGCCUCAUGCUGGCUGAUUGGCCCCGGUGUAUAUAGGACCAUGGGGACUGCCUCCUUUGAUACUCCUGCCUGCUUUGAUCAAUCUCCCAUGAGACACCGACUCCUGCCUGCCCGCUGACCUGCUCUCUACACCCAACGUCCUGACUAACGCUGCUGCACCUGACUGCCUGCCCGAUCACCGACUGUGGAACAAUAAACGCUUUUCCCGAAUUAUCUCUGCGUCUCCCGUGUACUCGUGUACCCGUCUUGAUGGGUCGCGACACCAGCCAGCAUCGGCCGAAAGGUGGACUACACCUUGAACUGGUCGCCAAUCAGUCACAGGGAAACUUUAUAUAUAUAU